GGUUCUAUGGUGUAAUGGUUAGCACUCUGUACUCUGAAUCCAGUGAUCUGAGUUAAAAUCUCGGUAGGACUU
rnacentral:tRNA from 1 species